rnacentral:rRNA from 1 species
UCUCAGUUCGGAUUGGAGUCUGCAACCCGACUCCAUGAAGCUGGAUUCGCUAGUAAUCGCGCAUCAGCCACGGCGCGGUGAAUACGUUCCCGGGCCUUGUACACACCGCCCGUCAAGCCAUGGAAGCCGGGGGGUGCCUGAAGUGCGCUGCCGCAAGGAGCGCCCUAGGGUAAAACCGGUGACUGGGGCUAAGUCGUAACAAGGUAUC